GGACAUAUCAUAACGAAGAGGUAUCGUAAUUGAAGAGGUUUGGAAAGACCCACCACAGAAGGUAAUAGUCCUGUAUGUUAAACGAGAAGACUUCAGAUAUGAUCCAGAGUACCACGGGACACGUGAAACCCUGUGGGAAGCAGGAGGGACCACCCUCCAAGGCUAAAUACUACCUAGUGACCGAUAGCGUAUAGUACCGUGAGGGAAAGGUGAAAAGAACCCCGGGAGGGGAGUGAAAUAGAACCUGAAACCCUGCACUUACAAGCUGUGGAAGCACAUUUCUUGUGUGACCGCGUACUUUUUGUAGAACGGGCCAACGAGUUACGUUAAGUAGCAAGGUUAAGCACUUAAGGUGCGGAGCCGUAGCGAAAGCGAGUUUUAACUGAGCGUUCAGUUACUUGACGUAGACCCGAAACCGGGCGACCUACCCAUGAGCAGGAUGAAGCGAAAGUAAAAUUUCGUGGAGGUCCGAACCCACGAGCGUUGAAAAGCUCGGGGAUGACUUGUGGGUAGCGGUGAAAUUCCAAUCGAGCCCGGAGAUAGCUGGUUCUCCCCGAAAUAGCUUUAGGGCUAGCCUCAAGGUGAGAGAUACGGAGGUAGAGCACUGAAUGUCCUAGGGGGUAUUGCACCUACCGAAGACUAUCAAACUCCGAAUGCCGUCAUCUUAUACUUGGGAGUCAGACUGUGGGUGAUAAGAUUCAUAGUCGAAAGGGCAACAGCCCAGAUCGUCAGCUAAGGUCCCUAAAUGUAAGUUAAGUGGUAAAGGAUGUGGGAUUGCACAGACAACCAGGAUGUUGGCUUAGAAGCAGCCACUCAUUCAAAGAGUGCGUAAUAGCUCACUGGUCGAGUGAUCCUGCGCCGAAGAUUUCCGGGGCUAAAACUUACUACCGAAGCUACGGCAUCAGUAAUGAUGGGUAGGGGAGCUUCCCAUACGGGUUGAAGCAUGACCGUAAGGACAUGUGGACAGUAUGGGAGUGAGAAUGUUGGCAUGAGUAGCGAGAUGUGGGUGAGAAUCCCACAGGCCGUAAACCCAAGGUUUCCAGGGGAAGGUUCGUCCGCCCUGGGUUAGUCGGGACCUAAGCUGAGGCCGAAAGGCGUAGGUGAUGGACAACAGGUUGAUAUUCCUGUACUACCGAUAACCGUUUGAGAGAAGGGAUGACACAGUAGGAUAAGCUAAGCACACUGUUGGUUAUGUGUGCCCAAGCAUUGAGGCAGUCAAAGUAGGCAAAUCCGCUUUGAUAAUGCUGGGAUGUGAUGGGGAGCGAAAUUUAGUAGCGAAGUAGCUGAUUUCACACUGUCAAGAAAAGUCUCUAUCGAGGUUAAAGGUACCCGUACCGCAAACCGACACAGGUGGGUGAGGAGAGUAUCCUAAGGCCAGCGAGAGAACUGUUGUUAAGGAACUCGGCAAAAUGACCCCGUAACUUAGGGAUAAGGGGUGCCACCAUCAGGUGGCCGCAGAGAAUAGGCCCAAGCGACUGUUUACCAAAAACAUAGGUUUCUGCUAAGUCGCAAGACGAUGUAUAGGAGCUGACGCCUGCCCGGUGCUGGAAGGUUAAGGGGAUCUGUUAGAGCAAUCGAAGCAGUGAACUUAAGCCCCAGUAAACGGCGGCCGUAACUAUAACGGUCCUAAGGUAGCGAAAUUCCUUGUCGGGUAAGUUCCGACCCGCACGAAAGGCGUAACGAUUUGGGCACUGUCUCAACAACAGACUCGGUGAAAUUGUAAUUCCGGUGAAGAUGCCGGAUACCUGCGACAGGACGGAAAGACCCCAUGGAGCUUUACUGUAGCUUGACAUUGGGUCUUGGUACUACAUGUACAGGAUAGGUGGGAGGCUUUGAAACCAGGACGCCAGUUUUGGCGGAGCCAUCCUUGGGAUACCACCCUUGUAGUACUGGGACUCUAACCAUAGGCCAUGAAUCUGGUCUUGGGACACUGUCAGGUGGGCAGUUUGACUGGGGCGGUCGCCUCCCAAAAGGUAACGGAGGCGCUCAAAGGUUCUCUCAGUACGGUCGGAAAUCGUACGUAGAGUGUAAAGGCAAAAGAGAGCUUGAUUGCAAGACAUACAGGUCGAGCAAGGAUGAAAAUCGGACUUAGUGAUCCGGUGGUUCUGCGUGGAAGGGCCAUCGCUCAACGGAUAAAAGCUACCCUGGGGAUAACAGGCUUAUCUCCCCCAAGAGUCCACAUCGACGGGGAGGUUUGGCACCUCGAUGUCGGCUCAUCACAUCCUGGGGCUGUAGUAGGUCCCAAGGGUUGGGCUGUUCGCCCAUUAAAGUGGUACGCGAGCUGGGUUCAGAACGUCGUGAGACAGUUCGGUCCCUAUCCGUCGCAGGCGUAGGAAAUUUGAGAAGACCUGUCCUUAGUACGAGAGGACCGGGAUGGACGUACCUCUGGUGUACCAGUUGUCCUGCCAAGGGCAUGGCUGGGUAGCUAUGUACGGAAUGGAUAAGCGCUGAAAGCAUCUAAGCGCGAAGCCAACUUCAAGAUAAGAUUUCCCACCGCAAGGGUAAGACCCCAGAAAGACUAUCUGGUUGAUAGGUCGAAGGUGUAAGUGCAGCAAUGUAUUUAGCUUAUCGAUACUAAUAGGUCGAGGACUUGACCAA
rnacentral:rRNA from 1 species